rnacentral:rRNA from 1 species
GACGAACGCUGGCGGCGUGCUUAACACAUGCAAGUCGAACGGAAAGGCCCUGCUUUUGUGGGGUGCUCGAGUGGCGAACGGGUGAGUAACACGUGAGUAACCUGCCCUUGACUUUGGGAUAACUUCAGGAAACUGGGGCUAAUACCGGAUAGGAGCUCCUGCUGCAUGGUGGGGGUUGGAAAGUUUCGGCGGUUGGGGAUGGACUCGCGGCUUAUCAGCUUGUUGGUGGGGUAGUGGCUUACCAAGGCUUUGACGGGUAGCCGGCCUGAGAGGGUGACCGGCCACAUUGGGACUGAGAUACGGCCCAGACUCCUACGGGAGGCAGCAGUGGGGAAUAUUGCACAAUGGGCGAAAGCCUGAUGCAGCAACGCCGCGUGCGGGAUGACGGCCUUCGGGCUGUAAACCGCUUUCGCCUGUGACGAAGCGUGAGUGACGGUAAUGGGUAAAGAAGCACCGGCUAACUACGUG